rnacentral:misc_RNA from 1 species
AAGUCGUAACAAGGUUUCCGUAGGUGAACCUGCGGAAGGAUCAUUAACACGUUUCGAACGUUUUUGACCCAUUCUUAUUUUCCGUGCACCAUUUCGCGUCCGGCCUCCCAGCCGCCUACCGGGUUUACUCGGUUUGGCCUGUUGGGCGUCUUUAGGGAAUCCAAAAAAAAGAAGAGUUCACGCUCUACUUUUUUUUCCCAAUUGGCGUUGCCACCUCACCCAAACCCUUUAAUCUAACUGAUCUGAACUUUUAGUUGGACUAGGGACUUCGGUCUCUUUUACAACGACUUUACAACAAAUAACAACUCUUAACAACGGAUAUCUUGGUUCUC